rnacentral:rRNA from 1 species
GGGCCCGCACAAGCAGUGGAUUAUGUGGUUUAAUUCGAAGCAACGCGAAGAACCUUACCAGGGCUUGACAUGGAGACGACCGGCCUAGAGAUAGGUCUUUCCCUUCGGGGACGUCUCACACAGGUGGUGCAUGGUUGUCGUCAGCUCGUGUCGUGAGAUGUUGGGUUAAGUCCCGCAACGAGCGCAACCCCUAUUGUUAGUUGCUACGCAAGAGCACUCUAGCGAGACUGCCGUUGACAAAACGGAGGAAGGUGGGGACGACGUCAAAUCAUCAUGCCCCUUAUGUCCUGGGCUACACACGUAAUACAAUGGCGCAAAACAACGGGAUGCAAUACAGCGAUGUGGAGCAAAUCCUAAAAAGGCGUCUCAGUUCGGAUUGUAGGCUGCAACUCGCCUGCAUGAAGUCGGAAUUGCUAGUAAUCGCGGAUCAGCACGCCGCGGUGAAUACGUUCCCGGGCCUU